ACUUGAGCAGCAUAUAUAUACUAAAUUUGGAAUAAUAUGGAGAAGAUUAGCAUGGUCCUGUGCCAAGGAUAAUAAGCAAGUUUGUGACAUGUCCCACAUACUC